rnacentral:lncRNA from 1 species
UGCUCCUCCUACACACUGAAACUCCGGAAACAUAACUCCCUCUGAAUUCUAUUUCUACCUCCGGGCACUGAGACUUGGAGAAAACGAAGAGAGGAGAGGUUGGUUUUGUGGAGAGGUUUUUGUUUUUUAAUCUGAAGCCACUAUUUAUUCUCCCUGCUGAGCUUUUUGUAACUAACUGAUGAAGGAUGUAGAACACUUCCCACAUUAAGGCACUGUCUCAAUUAGGGUUACUAUGGCUACCGUGAAGCACCAUGACCAAAAGCAAAUUGGGGAGGAGAGGGUUUGUUAUCAAAGGAAAUCAGGACAGAACUCAAGCAGGACAAGACCCUGGAGGCAGGAGCUGAUGCAGAAGCCAUGGAGGGGUGUUGCUUACUGGCUUAUUCCUCACGGCUUUCUCAUCCCGCUUUCUUAUAGACCCCAGGACCACCAGCCCAGGGACGGCCUCACGCACAAUGGGCCGGGCCCUGCCCUAUCCAUUCCUAAUUAAAGUGCUUUACAGGUUUGCUACAACCCACUCUUCUGGAGGCAUUUUCUCCACUGAGGCUCCCUCCUCAGGUGACUUUAGCUUGUAUUAAGCGGAUAUACAGUCAUUCAGCACAGGCACCAUUCUGUUCUCUGUAGAUCUUAUAAAUGGUGGCCUCAUAGUCUGAAAAGACUCAUGAGAGCAAAUUAUCAUCUGCAGGGGUAAAUUAUGUCAAAGGUCUUUGGACAAUCAAACUCUGAUUGAUAAGUGAUAAAGAAUACUUCCAGGGGACUGGAGAGAUGGCUCAGUGGUUAAAAGCACUGACUGCUCUUCCAGAGGUCCUGAGUUCAAUUCCCAGCAACCACAUGGUGGCUCCCAACCAUCUGUAAUGGGAUCUGAUGCCCUCUUCUGGUGUGUCUGAAGACAGCUACAGUGUACUCUUAUGCAUAAAAUAAAUAAAUCUUUGU